rnacentral:tRNA from 1 species
UAUAGCUCAGUUGGUAGAGUGCUUGCCUCACAUGCACAAGGCCCUGGGUUCAAUCCCCAGAA